GGGCCCUUAGCUCAGUUGGUUAGAGCAACCGGCUCAUAACCGGUCGGUCUUGGGUUCGAGUCCCUGAGGGCCCACCA
rnacentral:tRNA from 1 species